rnacentral:rRNA from 1 species
AGAAUCAACGCUGGCGGCGUGCCUAACACAUGCAAGUCGAACGCGAAAGUGGAGCAAUCCAUAAGUAGAGUGGCGAACGGGUGAGUAACACGUGGGUGACCUACCCUCGAGUGGGGGAUAACAUCCCGAAAGGGGUGCUAAUACCGCAUGACAUCCUGUCUUUGAACAGACGGACAUUAAAGCCGGGGAUCGCAAGACCUGGCGCUCGUGGAGGGGCCCGCGCCCGAUUAGCUAGUUGGUGAGGUAACGGCUCACCAAGGCUUCGAUCGGUA